GGAAGAAAGUCUAUAUUUGCUCAAUACAGAUGAAUUUUUCUGAAAUACUUUCGAAACACAGAUAAUCCUAUGGCUGACUAAUGAAAAUAUUGAAAACAAGGGACACUUUCUUGGUAUACCUGGAGGCAUACAUCUGAGACACUUUUGGAAGCGGGUUGGUGUGUGUUUAUAAUACACAUAACAGGCAGGCUGAAGCUGAGCACUGUGGUCAUAAACAGUCAUCCAGCCUCCUUGGGGCGACUCGCCAAUUCCUUCGGAGGUCAGGUGAACUUUUCCUUUAAGCUUUGCCCCUUCACUCGGGAGCACAGACAGUGGAGGGCCUUGGAAGACUCAGACGAGGGGAGGGGGCUCUAGCUUGCUUUCCGUUGCUGUGAUAAACACCAUGAUCAAAAUCAAGUUGGGGAAGAAAAGGGUUAUUUCCUACUUCCGGCUCACAGUCUAUUCUUGGGGGAAAUCAGGGCGGAAGCUCAAGCAGAAACAGAAGCCGGAACCCUGAAGCAACAGUGAGCACUGGCUUGCUGUAAGGCGCAUGCUCAGCUCCAUUUCUGAUACAGCCGGGGCCCACCUGUUUAGGGACGACCCCACCCACAGUGGGCUGGGACCUCCCACAUCAACUAGAGAUUAAGAAAACGCCCCGUAGACGCGAUGACAGAACAAUCGGCUUGGGGCAAUUCCCCGACUGAGACUCCCUCAAACGAUUCUAGGUCGUGUUGACAGCUGAAGCUAACUGGGAGAGAUGGCACCUCCAACCACCUUGUGUAACUAGCUCACAUCCACUGGGGGCCGCUUCUCCUUCCUUGGGAGGCCGAGUGGUGCUGGGCCUCUCCUGCAGUCCAACUGUUAGGCUUGGUCUAAGUCGAAUGUCCCUUGACAUAUGCCUUUUGCGUUUAUAGCAGUUUCCCCACAUACCGUUUUUAGAUGGAGUGCUUAGCAGUUUUGUAGGGAGUUUGAAAAACUCCAGAAGCCCAACAGAAUACUUCCGAGGCCUUAUCACAUUUGCCCCGUCAUCACCAUGCACUCUUAUGAAGCCAGAGUGAAGUGUCUUCAGUUUAAAAGAGUGUAGCGUGAGUGUUUUGGUCACUGUCAACAACAAUUCUCACUCUUGGAUUUUUUAAAGAUCAGGGUCACCUUUUUUUUCCGGGUACCAUAAAUCAAAACAAGCAUACAUAUAUGUUUGCCACGUAGUAUGAAUUUGACAUCCAAUGUUGCAGUGGGCUUUUUUUGUUUUUUUUAAACAAGAGGGAUGCCUGAACUAAGCAUGCAGGUGACUGUGUUUCUCUUUCCAACAAAACUGUCAUGGCUCCAUGUUAGCCAUGAUUCACCACAGUUGACGCCUUGUUGUGUUCAUUUACAGAUCUUACCCUCUGUCCUUCACUUUGAGAGCCUCUAUGGAGAGUACGGGCCAUCCUAUCAGAAGCCAGAGCUCUUUGCCUAGGCUUGUUCUAACUUUAUGGCGUUAUAAUUCUACAGCAGCGUUCCACAACACCAGGAAUGGCUUGCUGUCCUAACUAGAAAUGGAGUCUCCCCAUAAGGCUAUAGCUCCCACAGCUGGAUGACACCAAACAAAAGAACAGGGCCUGGCUUCUCUUCCUUGCUUGACACUUUGCAGGAAGUCCCUUGGCUUUCCCCCAGUCUCCCCAGUCUCCUGGGUCCUUGAUGCUCUGGGCUCUUCAGUGCCAUCCCUACCGUUUAAGUUAUGAUUACUGACAGGUGAAAAGCUUCCAUCUCAGAGGAAUAGCUCUGACUGGAGGUGGCAAGGCAGGCAAACCAGCAGUGCUUGGGUCCUCUGUGGGGAAACCUGGGGAGAAACAUGGCUUUCCCAGGCAGCUAACUGUUUCAUCCUAACAAAAAGAGAUGCCGUCUUGAUUUCCGUACCAGCUGAACACCUGAAUAAUGAUAUGAUAAGCAACACAGAACCUAACACAAACUCAUCUAGCAUCCAGGAGCUGAGGAUCGAACCUAUGGCAAGCGCUCUACCACUGAGCUAAAUCCCCAACAACAGGAGCCCUGAUCAUGACCAGAUCCCUGGAAAUGACCCAGCUUUUCUUUAAGAACUGUGAGGUCUGGAAACAGUGGAGCAACCGGUACAGUGCAGAGGCUGAGCAAGUGCAUCCUCGGAAUCCUGCGCCGCCUUGCUUCUCCAUUCAUUUCCAUAUUCCAUGUUUGCCUUCUUCCUCUAUAUGAGUAUCUGCCUGGCCUUUCUAAGCAUCUCAUUUUAUACUUGUUCCAAUCACACAGUCCACAAGUACAUCCCUACUUGGGGCUCAUCAUCAGAGCAGGGAGGUAGACACGUGACUCUCGACACGUUAGGUCCCAGCUCAGUGCCAAGUUGGUCACAAUGUGGCUGUCUGUACCUGAGGUGUUGGAGCCCCGACACUUUGCUUCUCUGGCUACAGAAGAUCAAAGAGUCAACGAGGAAUAUGUGAUUUGGGACAGUCUCUGAGGAUGCAAAAAUGAGAGACAGGUACCUCCUCCACCACUGUUCUGUGCUUGUCUUACUCUUUGAAAACUGAUUCUGUAACUUUAGGGACUGAGACUGGAACAUAGAAAUGUAUUUGGAUUUCAGGAAAUGUUAGGAUUAAUUAUAAUGCAUUGAAUAAGUUACUGAACCUUACAAUGUUUUGGACUAUUUUUUUUUUAAAUAUGGAGGUUGUUUUAGACAACACUUUGAGAACAAUAUUAUGAUGGAAUAUUUGAAAACAAUAUUAUGAAAUAUUAUUUUGUUGUAAAACAAUAACAACAAUCUAUAGAUAAAACCUAAAAGUUUAUCAAAGUGCAACUGAACAAUGAAAAAGGGAUUCACGUGUAUUCAAGUGGCUAGAGCCAUGUCUGUGAAAAUUCUGGGGUCAUUUAAUAUUCAUUAGGUAGUGUAGAAGUUCAAUCCCUCAUUCAAUAGAUUUCUACUGAGUACCCAUUCUAGGUCGAACUGUGUAAAAUUGUCCAUUUCUACAAAAGCAGAAGUUUCAGGAGUUUAAUCAGAAGCAUCCCUGGUGCUGAUAGCACAAGAAUAGACACAGUUAUGCAAAUGACUGCCAGGAAGGGUUAGAGGUACCACGGCAGGUAUGUGGAAGCCCCAUUGGUACCACGGCAGGUAUGUGGA